UUCGCAAUGCCCGAAAGGGUGACGAAGCGACGCCGCGUGCGGGAAGAAGGCCUUCGGGUUGUAAACCGCUGUCGGGAGUUAGGAAAUGCAAGGAUGUUAAUAGCGUCUUUGCUUGACUAAGGCUCCGGAGGAAGCCACGGCUAACUCUGUGCCAGCAGCCGCGGUAAUACAGAGGCGGCAAGCGUUGUUCGGAAUUAUUGGGCGUAAAGAGCACGUAGGCGGCUGUGUAAGUCGGUUGUGAAAGCCUUCCGCUCAACGGGAGAACGGCAUCCGAUACUGCAUAGCUAGAGUGCGGGAGGGGAGAGUGGAACUUCUGGUGGAGCGGUGAAAUGCGUAGAUAUCAGAAGGAACACCGGCGGCGAAGGCGACUCUCUGGCCCGUAACUGACGCUGAGUGUGCGAAAGCUAGGGGAGCAAACGGGAUUAGAUACCCCGGUAGUCCUAGCCGUAAACGAUGGGCACUAAGUAGAGGGGUUUU
rnacentral:rRNA from 1 species